rnacentral:rRNA from 1 species
CAGAGGCCCCAAGCGUUACUGAGAAUCACUGGGUUUAAAGGGUGCGUAGGUGGCGCGUUAAGUCCGUUGUGAAAUCCCUUGGCUCAACCAAGGAAUGGCUUCGGAUACUGGCGUGCUUGAGGCCGGUAAGGGUCACUGGAACUGACGGUGGAGCGGUGAAAUGCGUAGAUAUCGUCAGGAACGCCAAUGGUGAAGACAGGUGACUGGGCCGGUACUGACACUGAGGCACGAAAGCGUGGGGAGCAAACUGGAUUAGAUACCCUGGUAGUCCACGCCAUAAACGAUGAGGACUAGACGUUGGAGGGGUAAGCCUUUCAGUGUCGUAGCUAACGCGCUAAGUCCUCCGCCUGGGGAGUACGGCCGCAAGGUUG